GAAUCAACUGUUAUCGACGCUCCAUUCUCACCUCUUCUUCCCUCUCGUUGUCAUCCUAUCCCCCAACCCCCUCCACAAGAACAAAGAGGAGUCAGUGCAAGUGGUUGCGGCGAUGGUGUGCGCCAAGUGAAGGAUGAAAUAAUAUGCUGCUUGUUCAUCAGUUGAGCAAGUGCAAAGAGUUUGAGUACAGAAUUGUUGGCUACAAGGUGCAUCAAGGAGAUCUUUCCUUUGCAUUUCUGAUUGGGACAACCACCACCCUGUCAAUGAUGCCUCCUGUCUCUCACAUCGGCAAGCCUGAUGAGUAGAAGAAGUGCAAGCGUGGGGUUUCGAUUUUAUAAUGAAGUUUGAUAGUUUUUUAUGUUUGAGUCAGUGUCCUAGAAUCUGGGUCAUUUUCUGUGUCCAUCAGUACUAUACUACUAUGGCACCUCUUUAUGACAGAAUUCAUAAUCUGUUUGUAUCUUAGCACUGCUUCGUUCAUGAAUGGUGUUUUCAGCUC